GUGAAUCAUCAAAUUUUUGAACGCAAAUUGCACUCUCCUCGGAGAGUAUGCCUGUUUGAGGGUCAGCCUAUAAAAAUCGACAUCGUUGCUGUUUCGCGGUGGCGUUCGUCGGAAAUUGGGUCAUCUUAAAUCCUUUUGAUUUAAGCGACUUAAAAUUUUCUUUUGGUCCCUUAACGGUUUUAAGAUUCUAUUCUUUACACGGUUUAG
rnacentral:misc_RNA from 1 species